CAAUAGCGUAUAUUAAAGUUGUUGCGGUUAAAGAGCUCGUAGUCGGAUUUCUGCUGAGAACGACCGGUCCGCCCUUUGGGUGUGUAUCUGGCUCUUUCUUGGCAUCUUCUUGGUGAACGUUGCUGCACUUGACUGUGUGGAGCGCUACCCAGGACUUUUACUUUGAGGAAAUUAGAGUGUUUCAAGCAGGCAUACGCCUUGAAUACAUUAGCAUGGAAUAAUAAGAUAGGACCUCGGUUCUAUUUUGUUGGUUUCUAGAGCUGAGGUAAUGAUUAAUAGGGAUAGUUGGGGGCAUUCGUAUUUAACUGUCAGAGGUGAAAUUCUUGGAUUUGUUAAAGACGGACUACUGCGAAAACAUUUGCCAAGGAUGUUUUCAUUGA
rnacentral:rRNA from 1 species